AAGAGUGAUUGUGGGGCUGGAGAAAUAGCUCAGUGGUUAAUAGCACUCACUGCUCAUCCCAGUUCAGCACCCAGGUCAGGUGGCACCUGUAACUCUAGUUCCAGGGGAUCUGUCCUCUUCUAGCCUCUAAGGGUCCCUUAUACACAUAGCAGCCUCUUGCCUCAUCCUUUUUAAUAUUAGGAUUACAUUCAUUUGUUACUACACCUGGCUUUUAGUCAUUUUAAGGUGUCUAUGAUGUCAUCUACAGAAGAAAUAAAGUCACUGAAUAUUUGUUUACUGGGCACCAUCUGUGUGUCAGAGCCUGCAGUUGUUGCGAAGUCUUCCAUCCUACUAGAUGUGAAGCCUUGGGAUGAUGAGACGGACAUGACAAAACUAGAGGAGUGUGUCCGAAGCAUUCAAGCAGAUGGCCUGGUGUGGAGCUCCUCUAAAUUGGUUCCAGUGGGAUAUGGAAUUAAAAAGCUUCAAAUACAGUGUGUAGUUGAAGAUGAUAAGGUUGGAACGGAUAUGCUGGAAGAGCAAAUUACUGCUUUUGAGGACUACAUACAGUCCAUGGAUGUGGCUGCUUUUAACAAGAUUUAAAUCAUUCUCAAGUCAGUGCACUUAAAUAAAAGCUUGAAAGAUAAAAAAAAAAAAAA